rnacentral:rRNA from 1 species
UAGGGAAUAUUGCACAAUGGGCGAAAGCCUGAUGCAGCAACGCCGCGUGCGUGAUGAAGGCCUUCGGGUCGUAAAGCGCUUUUAGAGGGGAUGAAUCAAGACAGUACCUUCAGAAUAAGGAUCGGCUAACUACGUGCCAGCAGCCGCGGUAAAACGUAGGAUCCGAGCGUUAUCCGGAAUCACUGGGCGUAAAGGGCGUGUAGGCGGUUUGGCAAGUCGGUCAUGAAAGCUCCCGGCUCAACUGGGAGAGGUUGUUCGAUACUGCUAGACUAGAGGGCAAGAGAGGGAGGUGGAAUUCCCGGUGUAGAGGUGAAAUGCGUAGAUAUCGGGAGGAACACCAGUGGCGAAGGCGGCCUCCUGGCUUGCAUCUGACGCUGAGACGCGAAAGCGUGGGGAGCGAACGGG